ACUCAUGGCCUAUGUGGACUAGGAGACAUUGCAGCACGGGCCCAUUGAGGCUGACCACGAGUCAAUCAUUGUGCUUGCGAUUAGAUUUGAAUGAAUUUGGAUUCUUGGCUUGGCAAAAAAUGGAGAGAGCAUAUGAUGAGAUGCAUAUAUUUGUCUCAUAUCAGCUAUGCACAAAAUAGAUCUUGGAUACUUAUACAAGACUAAAAAAUCCAAAUAAUGACUUCCAGCUAACCUUUUUGAAUGAGGUCCUAAGUUGUUGUAUUUGAACUCCGAGGGAUGCACGGAAACUAAAGAUCUAAGUUACUAGUUUUAAACCACCAUAGAACAAUAAUAGAAAAAAAAAAGGCCUACCUACCUCAUGGUAAAUAAUAUGUUCCAAAUUUCAACUGACGGAAGAGUUUCAUUUCUCUCAAUUGUCGGUGUCAAGCUGUCACGCCCCAAAUCUUGAGCAUGAGACGGCCGUGUUACCAAGGGGUACAACUCAUGAUAACAGCCAAACUUUUCAUUUAAUAUCCAAAUUCAUCUCAAACAAAAUAUAUAAAUAAAAGUCCAAUUUUAUUAUCCAUUAAAUGUAAUUAAUUAUGGUUCACAACGUCUAAAUUUAAGCAUAAACACCAAACCUAUAAUCCUCAAUGUUCAAAAAAUAAUUAACUACAAAUUUCAUAGUCAACUAAAAUACUAAAAUUCUUCUACAAAAUCACCAAACUUGCUAGCACGAACUCCAAGCCUGAGCCAUCCUUCGUUCCUAUCAAUCCUAUUUAUCUCGAGAGAGAAAAAUAAAAAUAGAGAUAUAUGAGCCACACAGUUCAGUAAGUAAAGCUUAGUCUACCUGACCGGAUCAA
rnacentral:lncRNA from 1 species